GACAGCACCAAUGAAAUGUACAUUAUAUAACCAGUAUUCCAGAUUAAAUUCCAUUCAGAUUCAAUAACCAUUGAAUGUAAUUACUUUUUCUUAUUCCAUAUUGCAGCAUUAAACGGUAGCCCGGUGUAUUAAAAUUCCCUCUUCGCACAGGUCAGGGAAAGGGCCUCACCACAAGGGUGUAUUGUACGCAGCCGUACCUUGCAUUUCUGCAAAAGGCUAUUUUUGAGGCUUGAACCCGUGACCUCCGGGUCACAUGGCAACAACUUUACCAGUUACUCCAAGGCUCUCUUCUCCAUAUUGCAGCAUUAAUAUCCAAAAUAGUCUAGCAAAUCUAAAAGAAUGGUUUGAGACUAAGUCUAUCAACUGUUGUUAGUCUUUGGUGCAAAGCCAUCCAUAUGAUGAAUUGAAUGUCUAGAAAUUAGACCUUUAAUCAUAGCUAAUUGUUUCCAUUCAACACUGGCUUGUUGUGGCAGCAUGGUUUGGCAAGAUUUGCUAAUAUUGUACUUAUCAUUAUUGCAGCAUUUAUGGAGGGCAGCAGUUAUAUCAGUACGAUUGAGGUGCGGAUGCAAGCAACAGUUGUUAAAUGUGGAACUUCAAGUGCAGCACUGCCAGUUGAACUGCUCGCAGCAGCUAAAAAACUGUAACAGGUUAGUAAACUUGAAUUUCAAUCAGAAACUCCUAACACAGAGAAGAAAGAACUUUCAUAUGUGCUCGGAAACUAAUACCUGUACUUUUUUCCCUCUACUAGCUAUUAAAUAGUUAUCUAUGUCCUUUGUAUCAACUUUCAUUUACCUCGUGGAUUUUAAUUCACCACAGGCAAUGCUAAGCACAAAGUAUCACACAACCAGUCAUAUGCUCUAUCAUUUAAUUUAUUUGUUUGGUUUUGAGUAUUUGAAAUGUGACAUUGAAAUGUCACAUUUAAGUAAAAUAAAAGAAAGAUUUUUGAAUGUUUUGGUCUCAAAGCAAAGGAUUGAUGACUAAACAUAUGAGGUUAAGUAUAAUAAAAGAAAGACUUUUGAGUGUUGCAGUCUCAAAAUAAAUGGUAGUUUGUCUUUUGUUACUAAUGGAAGUACAGAGAAGAAACCACAAGGUACUUGCUGUUCAGGCCUUAAAUUGGUGUUGACAACUGAUGCUGACUGUCUUUGUGAAGGCUUUAAGAACAGUGCUUAGUUAGGUGUUGUUCUUAAUGUUACUAUAGCUAUGUCUCUUCCUGCUGCUUGCCAUGUAUCUGCUUCUUUUGUUAGUAACUGUGGAUGUGAGUGCUUUGUUUUCCUUACUGCAUGCUCUUUUUAAGAGGAAUAAAAAAAUAUUAAUAGUAAUAUUAUGUAAUUUUGAGGUUUUAAUUGGUGUUUAAUUUUUUUUGUUUGUGUUUUAUAUUUGUACAGUGAGUACUUACACGGGAGCUGCUCCUGGUACGUACAGAUCUGGCUUUUAUUGUAUUUUUAGUUUCUUUUUGUGUCGGUUUGACUGUGGUAAUAUUAAGAGUAAUAUUAUGUAAUUUUGAGGUUUUAAUUGGUGUUUAAUUUUUUUGUUUGUGUUUUGUAUUCGUACAGUGAGUACUUACACGGGAGCUGCUCCUGGUACGUACAGACCUGGCUUUUAUUGUAUUUUUAGUUUCUUUUUGUGUCGGUUUGACUGUGGUCUCUGUUUGGAUUAAAAACACACCCUUAGGGAUCGUUUGGUGUCCGGUAUAAGUAGUUCAAAUAAAGGAUUAUUUUAUCCAAUGUUUGGUUGGAGAUAUUAGUUAACACCGGAAUAACUUAUCCCACCAUUUACACCAUGAUGAUGGGGGGUUAAGUUAUCCCGGUACAGGUUUUCCUUAACGAUAUUGCAUUUGUUUGCUAAUUAAAUAUAUACAUACACCACCAAGUCUACUACUUCCGAUUUUUUGAGUUCUUGCUGCAUUUGUUAGUUCCAUUUGUUGUUAUUAUUGUUAAUUUGAUGACAUUUCACAUCUCUGUUGCAGCACAUUUAACUCGAUAAUGAAGCAUCCUGCUGGUUCCUUCACCAAACAAGGUGUUGAAGUAGACAAAAUGCAAUUUUUUAAGUAAAAUAUAUCACU
rnacentral:lncRNA from 1 species